GUAGUCUGCAACUCGACUACAUGAAGCUGGAAUCGCUAGUAAUCGCUGAUCAGAAUGCUGCGGUGAAUACGUUCCCGGGUCUUGUACACACCGCCCGUCACACCAUGGGAGUCGGAAAUGCCCGAAGCCGGUGACCCAACCAAAAGGAGGGAGCCGUCGAAGGCAGGUCUGAUAACUGGGGUGAAGUCGUAACAAGGUAGC
rnacentral:rRNA from 1 species